UCAUCAUCACAUCACCAUCACCACUAUCACCACCAUAUCAACAUCACACCAACACCAUCAUAUCAUCACCAUCACAUCGCCAUCACAUCACCAUCACCACUAUCACCAUCAUAUCACCAUCACACCAACACCAUCAUAUCAUCACCAUCACAUCACCAUCACCACUAUCACCAUCAUAUCAUCACCAUCACAUCACCUUACCACAUCAACACACCAUCUCAUCACCAUCACCACUAUCACCAUCAUAUCACCAUCACAUCACCAUCACAUCGCCAUCACAUCACCUUACCACAUCAACACACCAUCUCAUCACCAUCACCACUAUCACCAUCACAUCACCUUACCACAUCAACACACCAUCACAUCGCCAUCACCACUAUCACCAUCACAUCACCUUACCACAUCACCAUCAACACCAUCACUUCGCCAUCACCACUAUCACCACCAUAUCACCAUCACAUCAACAUCACAUUACCUUACCACAUCACCAUCAACACCAUCACAUAAUGUAACGAUAAUUCAUAAAAACCCAAUCUAGGUGUAAAUGACCUGGUGGUGUACAGCUGCUCACACACACUUAUGGAUCGUCUAAUCAUCUUGUUCAAUCAGACUCUGUGUUUCUGGGUGUUUUAUUCUGGGUGUUUUAUUCUAAAUGUUACGGACAUCACUGUGAUGGAUCAAGACAACACUGGAGGUUUUCAUUUUAUAGAUCCAGGAGAAUUAAAAAUAUAAUAUAUAUUUUUUUGACUCCUCCUACACUGGGUCUUGUGUUCAUCUGAUGAAGCUUUAUGCCCCGCCCCCUGUGGGCAUGUCUUGCUCUGCAGUAGCAGCUGAUUAGCAGUAAACUGUGUUUGUGUUUCAGGAUCGCUUACAAUCAUCAGCUGAUGGGGAGAUUAUUUCUCUGGAAGUGGGUGGAGCUUGUGUGAGCUGGAGGAUUUGUGUCUCCAUCAGUGCGAGUCUGUGUCUCUGAUGUAACUUUUUUCACUGUGUUCGGUUUUGUCCUGGUUAAAGUGGACAGGCAUGGACAAAAAAUCCUCCACUCCUGGAAAAUAAAAACACACGCUCUUCACUGCUCUCCAUGUUUAGCUAGCUCGCUAUGCUACAAUCAGGUUUAUUCAUAUUAGAUGAAAUAUUGUUUGGUUUCAAUCAGUCACUUCCUGUCUAAAAGGAAACGGAUCGAUGGAGGUUUAAAUCUGCUCGCUGCCAUGUUCCUGGUUUGCGUUUAUUCCCUCGAUGGUGGUGUAGCGCUGUUUGGAUAUUGACGGGCGGCUCGGUGGGCAGAGCGCGCAGCAGACUGAAGCGAAGGAAAGACUCUCCACAGCUUGAAGCCGGCUCACUUCUCAUCAAAUCUGUUACUUCAGAGCAAACAAAAAAAAAAGGUUUAAAGCGUAAAUACGUUUUCAGCACGAGCCGAAAUCCGAUUCAGAUGAACUGGAGACACCAGACAACCAGCAGGAAGCAUCAACGCUCUGAGUGUUUGAUCCGCCUCUCGCUUCUUUUUGAUGUGCUUGGUGUAAAAGUGAGCACUCGGCUCCUGUCUCCUCUCAGAAAUCUCCUGGAAUAGAGGAUGAGAGAUUUCCUGCAAAUCCCGCAAUGUGGAACCCAGGGUUUUAUGGUAUCUUCUACUUUUGAAUUGUCCGAGAUCAGCGACAUCGUCACGUCAACUUGGCUGCCGCCAACUUGGACCACCGAGAAACAUGUCUGUGACCUCCGACCCUGAUGGAUUUGAUGGAUUUUGAUGAUGUGGCGUCAUCUUCACUCUGUAGUUCCUCCACCUCACAACUGGGAAGAACGUCUUGUGGGUUCCUGGGGUUCCUCCGACAGCUGUGCAAGUUGCUGUGAGACAUUUCGAGUUUCUGCUGGUUGCCAUGGUAUCCAUCCAUGCUUAGAAUAAUAACCAUACCCUUGUUGUGUUAGCUGUUGCUACAUCAUUUUGCAUAAAAAGGGUUUGCCCCACCCACUACACUGUAACGCAUUCACCCUAGCCGUAAGAAUGUGACACACAUCUGAGUGAGUGGGCGGGUCUUUGGGUUUGUAGCUGUGUUAAUCUAGCCAAACAUAACUGUGGAGGUGGAGACCCAAUUAAUGCAACCUUUUUUUUUUCUUUUUUUCUUUUCAAUAAAGAUGAUUGGUUAUUAUCAUGUUUGUCCCACCCACAAUUCUUCUGUGAUACUGGACCAAUCGUGAGGGAGAAAGAAGUUGCUGCAUGCUCCACCUCUCGUGUGAUAAGUCCAGAUGGAAACCUUUUUCCUUCCAGCGGUAACUUUGCACCUUUAGUGAUAAUUAGAUGAUCCUCCACAUGAUCACAUCUUCAGGCUUUUCUGCUACCUUCAGAAUCAUGAAGAUGGGAUCUUCUUGCCUCUCAAAGCUUCUGAUGUAAAACUCAGUGAGCAUAAACACAGCAAGCUCCAUCCCACUUCCAGCUUCACUGUAUUUAUUCCCUUUUUAAAAAACUUCUCGUAUUCUUUCUUUACCAUCACCACAUCAGAUCCACGUGGAAGUUCUCAGCAUCCUCCAGAGAGCAGCAGGAACUGAUGAAGAACUGAGGAACUGCUUUGAACAACUAGUUUUUGAAGAGAAGAGAAGGGUUCAUCUUUAAAAGGCACACGUUUCUACUCCUCACGUGAAGUUGUGUGCUGUGUGAACUCACGUGUGGAGCAGAAACAGGCUGGUCUGAGUUCACGUUCAGUAAAAACUGGUCUGCACUUUGACGUGAGCGAGAUGAAAUGAAUGAUCUGAUCACGAAAGUGCUUUUCUGUAGA